CCUACGGGAGGCAGCAGUGGGGAAUAUUGCGCAAUGGGCGAAAGCCUGACGCAGCGACGCCGCGUGCGGGAUGAAGGCCUUCGGAUCGUAAACCUCUGUCAGCAGGGAAGAACGGUCACUGUGCUAAUCAGCAGUGAAUUGACGGUACCUGCAAAGGAAGCACCGGCUAACUCCGUGCCAGCAGCCGCGGUAAUACGGUGGGUGCGAGCGUUAAUCGGAAUUACUGGGCGUAAAGCGCUCGUAGGCGGUAGGUCAAGUCAAAGGUGAAAUCCCCGCGCUCAACGUGGGAACUGCCUUUGAUACUGGCAAACUAGAGAGUGUGAGAGGAUGGUGGAAUUCCAGGUGUAGGAGUGAAAUCCGUAGAGAUC
rnacentral:rRNA from 1 species